rnacentral:lncRNA from 1 species
UGGUCUAUCUUUGGUUUUCUGAAUUGGGAAGUAUAGAGUGGUAAGGUGAAGUUCAGCAGUCCCCUUCUGAUAGGAAGACUGAGGCAGCAAAUGAUGCACCUGGAAAUUCCUUGGGAAUAGAGCAGAGACAAAUUAGUUUCUUCCUGCACACAACUUUGAAGAAAGAACUCAGUCUCACACUGUAACUCUACCAAAAGGUCUGUGCUAUUCAGUGAAGCAUGUUGAGCAUACUAAAGGUUAACCUCAGGAAUAAAUCUGUUGCUGAAUAAGGGAGAUGAUCUGAACCACAGCCAAAACCUUGUGAUUUGCAAAUCCACCCUUUACCUGAGUCUUAAAUUAUUUCUGUGUGCUGGGAAUUCUUUUCUGGAAGAUGGAGCAGAACCACAUUUUCUGCCUUGGUGACCCAGCAGCCUUUUGAGCAAAACAAUGGAAAGAGCCCAUCCUAGACUCCCUACAGGCAGCAGUCUUCACUUCUUGAAGAUGUUUUCUGUGUGAGCAGUGAGACUGAAGAUUAUUUGUGACCUUCCAUAAAGACCAGAAAACAGUCUGUGGUUGGAAAUAUCAAUGUCAAACAGGUUCAAACUGAAGUUCAAAAGGUA